UUCUCCUAACAUUGUCAAUCUGAGAUAGCUUUCCUAACAUUUCUGGAAAACUCAACUAAUUUACGCGUUGGAGUUAAACUGAAGGCUGGCAAUAGAACUGCUUGUGGUUUGUUGCUUGAGCACUGAUAGUGAUCAUUUCCUGUCCCUCCAGGCCCAGCCCAGGUCCUCAGAAUUUAUAAACAAAGCUCUUGCAAUGAGGACUAAACUGCUUCAGUCAGGCAGAGGCAGCAAGAUGGUGUCAGAGACCCAAGUCCUCAUGUCUCUGCUGCUCUGGGUGUCUGAUCUCGGUGGAACAUCCAAUUGCCACGCCUGCAUGGCACAAAGCUGAUCUCUGAGCAGAGGACGUCAGGAUUGAAGAGACUAUCACACCUUUUGUGUAGCAGAAGAAGCCUUUAUUUCUCAGCCCCAGGUUGCUUUUAUACCCUAGCCCAGAAGGCACCUGACCCAAUGGGGGCGGGGGAGCUGUCGCAUGACCGCAGGGUCAGUGCCAGGUCAUGGUGUUCUCAGGACCUGAUGCCGGAAAAUGAGCUG